rnacentral:piRNA from 2 species
AGGAGACUAUGCAAGUUGAGUGCUGGU